UACGUAGGGGGCGAGCGUUGUCCGGAAUCAUUGGGCGUAAAGAGCGUAUAGGUGGCUUGGAAAGUCUUACGUGAAAGCCUGCGGCUCAACCGCAGAAGUGCGUGGGAAACUUCCUCGCUAGAGUCCGGAAGAGGAGAGCGGAAUUCCUGGUGUAGCGGUGGAAUGCGCAGAUAUCAGGAGGAACACCCGUGGCGAAGGCGGCUCUCUGGGACGGUACUGACACUGAGACGCGAAAGCGUGGGGAGCGAACAGG
rnacentral:rRNA from 1 species